UUCCUUCUGUUAUAAUUUGAAUUAAGUUGUUAUUCGAGAAGUUGUUUCUGUUUUAAGUUGUGGGCAAGAUACUAUGUUUUCUUUAAGUUUUAAAGACAUUGGAUUCGCUGCAUAACUAUUUGUCAAAGUGAACUAGUUCAAAGACUAAUUAACUAUCACAAGAGCAUCUAUUUAUAAUAUAGUAACUAUGAAGCGCGCAAUGUAGCGCUGCCAAAUCAUCUAUCUUAUACUCACAUAAGUUUGCCACAUCAGAAUUUUUAAUUACAUGUCAUUGCAUCUCCUACAUUUUACACAACAUACUAUCAAUUGAACCCUUGCCAUUUCUAUGCGCCGUUUUUUGCGUUCUUCUCUUUUCCCCUCUCCAGCAUAUCGAGCAUUGAUUCAAGACUAUUUCUUUAGGGGACGCGCCGAUCUAGAAUGCCACCUCCUCUUAGCUUGCGGCCGCCACUUCCAUUCUCUCACAAACUGAGCUACAACCACCAAAUCGCUUGCACAAUCGCACUACUCUCGCCGGGACAAACACCACCGUCGUUCACGCAUCUGCCUCUUUUACUUGAUGCACGCUACAUGUUGCUAAUUUGCUAUGCGAUUGGCAAAUCUUAAAACCCGACCAAUCCACAUCGAGCUCAAGGUCUUAAUGAAGUUUAAGGAUCUCAGGCUAGAACCCACUCAGGCCUUCACGAAUCACGAUGAUGAUCAGACUAAGGAGCCCAAGAUGUUGUUUGCUCUGAUCCACUUCAGAAGAUGCCUACUAAGAUCCGACGCUUCUUUUGAGACUCCCUUCUAAGG